GUACAUGUAUCAGCAAGUAUGGAAGCCCUGAGGUCAGAGUCAUAUGGAAUGUUUGAGAAUAAAGCCAAGGUGCCUAGAACUAGUGAAAGAAAGAGUAGUAGGAAGUAAGAUCAUGGAGGAAUCUAGAGUUCAGACCCUAUAGGACCCUUUAGACUGUGAUAAAAGGGUUCAGAAUUUUUUUCCAAGUGUUAAGGGAAAUCACUGGUAAUAUUAUAUGAUUUAUAUUUUUAAAGAGUAAGUAGCUACUUUGUGGAAGAUAAACCAAGGUGGGGGUAGGAGAAGCAUGGUGUAAUAAUAGUACCCCAGCUAAUUGGUUAUUGCAGUAAUCUCAGCUAGUGAGGAUCGUGGCUCAGCAUGGGUGUCGUAAUGGAGGUGAACAGAGUCAAAAAAUAUAUUGAAAGUAGUGUUGCUAGCUCUUGAUAAUGAAUUGAAUGUGAGGUUUGGAGAAAGUUAGACAUCAGUCUAAUGUAAAAGAAUUUAGGCCUAUAGAAAAAAAUUUUGGAGUCAUCAGAUUAUGGAUUAUAAAGUCAUGGGAUUUGAUGAGAUCACUGAGGAAUAAGUGUAAAUAGAGAAAAGAUCUCAGAACUGAUUCCUGAAGCACUAAACAAAAAGUAAAAAAAAAAAAAAAAAAAAGAAAGAAGAGGAGUACCUGGAUGGUACAGUCAGUUUUGUCUAGGUUGUGAUCUCAGGGUAAUGGUUCCAGUCCCUAAGGAGGCUCCAUGUCUCAGGGAGAAGUCUACUUGAAUUCUCUGUCUCUCUCUCUCUGCCCCUCCCCACUCUCUAAUUUAAAAAUGGCAGUAAUAAGUCCUUCCUUGUCAGUAAUUUUUAAACAUGUAAAUAAAUGAAAUUCUCCAAUCAAGAAUCAUGGAAUGGGGCGGCUUGGAUGGCUCAGCGAUUUAGCGCCACCUUCAGCCCAGGACAUCAUCCUGGAGACGCAGGAUCGAGUCCCACGGCAGGCCCCCUGCAUGGAGCCUGCUUCUCCCUCCGCCUGUGUCUAUGUCUCUCUUUCUCUCUGUUGCUCGCUCUCUCUCUCUGUCACUCAUGAAUAAAUAAAGUAAAAAAAAAUGUAUUAAAAAAAACUGAACUUGACAAGAUGAGCACUGGGUGUUAUUCUGUAUGUUGGCAAAUUGAGCACCAAUAAAAAAUAAAUUUAUUAUUAAAAAAAUAAAAAAAUAAAAUAAAUAAAAUAAAAACUGAGGAAGGUAUAUAGAGCUCCCACUUAACUACAGAUGAGUGUAGAAAGACUAAAGUGUAAAUUAUAUUAUACUGGUAUGUCCACAUUCCCAGGGGUUCCAGAAAUACACAAUCAAAACUUCUAGAAGAACAGAAUUCCACACUAAUAAAGUCUACUGAAAGUAUAAUUUAAAUUUAUAUGAUUAGUUAAGGAGAAGAAGUCCUAGAUACAAAGCAGGAAAGGGAACCAGAGAAAGUAGAAGGCAAAUUGAGGUCCUACUUAUAAAUAUUUUCCAUAAACAAGAGAAGAGGAAGCUCUGGAGCCAUGAAUCUAGAAAAGCUAUCUUUUCUGCCACUACCCCAUAUGGGAAUUUCCUAAAAUAGGAAGUCCCAUCUCAGUAAAACAUGAGCAGCAGAAAAUAACUGCAAUAUAAAAUAUAUUGUAAGCAAAGACACCAAUUCUCUGAAUGAGUUGCCAAUGUACAGUGAAGAUACAUAAGAAAAAAUGGCCCAAAAAAAGCCAAAGAAAAUUGUGACUAAAUAUUUCAAAACUAGCCAAAGGAAGUUAAGAAAACAGUAAAAACUAUAAAGGUUGUAUAAUCAAUCAGAAACGUUCAGAGAUAAAAAAGACUAGUUAAGGGGAGGGCAUUAAACGAAAAACAGCUCAAUGAACAAAUAAAAAGAAAAGAAAAAAUUCAGAAGACUAAACUGGAAA
rnacentral:lncRNA from 1 species